UACGGAGGGAGCUAGCGUUGUUCGGAAUUACUGGGCGUAAAGCGCACGUAGGCGGCUUUGUAAGUUAGAGGUGAAAGCCCGGGGCUCAACUCCGGAACUGCCUUUAAGACUGCAUCGCUUGAAUCCAGGAGAGGUGAGUGGAAUUCCGAGUGUAGAGGUGAAAUUCGUAGAUAUUCGGAAGAACACCAGUGGCGAAGGCGGCUCACUGGACUGGUAUUGACGCGUGAGGUGGCGUAAAAGCGUGGGGAGCAAACAGG
rnacentral:rRNA from 1 species